CGAAGGAAACCAUACUUCUUGCGUACGAACAAUACCAUCGCACCCCAUAGGGAUACACUGGGAUGAAUAAACUCCUUAUCCAAAAGAUCCUUAAGUUGCUCCUUGAGUUCCUUCAACUCAGCUGAAGCCAUUCUAUAAAAAGAAAUAGCUAUUGAACGAGUGUCAAGAACCAAAUUAAUACCAAACUCAAUCUCCCUAUUAGGAUAAACACCAGGAAGGUCAUCCAGAAAGACCUCAGGAA
rnacentral:lncRNA from 1 species